UGGGGAAUUUUGGACAAUGGGCGAAAGCCUGAUCCAGCAAUGCCGCGUGUGUGAAGAAGGCCUUCGGGUUGUAAAGCACUUUUGUCCGGAAAGAAAUCCUUGGCUCUAAUACAGUCGGGGGAUGACGGUACCGGAAGAAUAAGCACCGGCUAACUACGUGCCAGCAGCCGCGGUAAUACGUAGGGUGCAAGCGUUAAUUGGAAUUACUGGGCGUAAAGCGUGCGCAGGCGGUUUGCUAAGACCGAUGUGAAAUCCCCGGGCUCAACCUGGGAACUGCAUUGGCGACUGGCAGGCUAGAGUAUGGCAGAGGGGGGUAGAAUUCCACGUNUAGCAGUGAAAUGCGUAGAGAUGUGGAGGAAUACCGAUGGCGAAGGCAGCCCCCUGGGCCAAAUACUGACGCUCAUGCACGAAAAGCGUGGGGAGCAAACAGGAUUAGAUACCCUGGUAGUCCACGCCCUAAACGAUGUCAACUAGUUGUUGGGGAUUCAUUUCCUUAGUAACGUAGCAACGCGUGAAGUUGACCGCCUGGGGAGUACGGUCGCAAGAUUAAAACUCAAAGAAUUGAACGGGGUCAUAGCUGUUUCCU
rnacentral:rRNA from 1 species